AGAAACUUAGGAUAACCAGACCAAGAGCCUUCAAAAGCCCUAAGUAGAAGUUAAACUCUUCUAGUUUCUG
rnacentral:tRNA from 1 species